rnacentral:lncRNA from 1 species
CGUUCUAAACAAGAACCGCCUAACUCCAAUACGUAAACCCCAUGUAGUUAUGCGGGCCUCGCUGAACACGGCAGUAUUGAAGCAGGGGUUCAUUCAGCUCACUGCCAAGGCCAUGGAGGCCAGUUUAAAUCAAGUGAUCAAGUGUCGACCAUAAUAUAGGCAUUACCUCAAAGGCAGGACUGUCCGUGCGAAACUCUCAACAAUCUUGUCCAGUAUACAUGUAGAUAUAUGUGAGCACACGAAUAAUGAAACCGGAAAUAUAGGAAUCCUAACUCCCCAGCGCGACGACCCACGGACCCACGCUGCCGCCACGCCGAACCACACGCUACUGCCUAUACAACAGUCACACGGACGAUACGUCGACGAUAACGCAACGCCUGGAUUGCUCAACUAAUCCUACUCAUCGGACACCAUGGUUGCCUAUGCAAAAAAUUGAAGGCGGACUGUAUAUGCCGUCACUCGCAACGAAACACCAACAAGGAACAAUGCUAGGGGCGUCGCGAAUGCUUGCACGGAAUGAGACAAAAAUUACAAGUUAAGAAUAACGUGUGCGGCGUGUUUCUCAGACACGAAUCAUCGGGUGCAAGGUGUCUUCAAUUUUCUAACUUGUCAAUAUGUCUUCAUCGAACGGGACCGAUGACGAAAGGAAAAGCGAGCUGGAGCGGUUCUAUUCGCCGAGCCAGUGGAGUCAUCGUUAUUCUGCAGAGGAGGUCAUCGCAAAACAUAUUCAGAUAAUAACUCAAGGUAAGGCUGAAGAAAUUUAAACUGCCAUGCAAAGUGAGGAUUUCGAAGAGGGAUUCGGAUAUUGCCAAAAUUUUUCCCGAUAAAAUAUUUAAUUUCCAGAAAAUUCAAGAAUGUAUGUAUUUCCGGUAUUUCACCUUGAAAUAUAAGGUGUAAUAGAGUAAGUUGUGGAGAUUUUUUGACAAAAAAAAAAUUAGAGAAAAAUAUCGAUGACUAAUUGUAAAGCUGUAAUAUGCGCAUUCCCGAUUUUAACGCUGCAAAUCGAAGGCGAGGGGGCGAAAAAUCAUAUCUCUGUGCCGUGUUUUUCAAUCUCCGCUUCUAGUUUAUUUUUUCAA